rnacentral:rRNA from 1 species
GAUGAACGCUGGCGGCGUGCUUAAUACAUGCAAGUCGAGCGAACAGACGAGGAGCUUGCUCCUCUGACGUUAGCGGCGGACGGGUGAGUAACACGUGGAUAACCUACCUAUAAGACUGGGAUAACUUCGGGAAACCGGAGCUAAUACCGGAUAAUAUAUUGAACCGCAUGGUUCAAUAGUGAAAGACGGUUUUGCUGUCACUUAUAGAUGGAUCCGCGCCGCAUUAGCUAGUUGGUAAGGUAACGGCUUACCACGGCAACGAUGCGUAGCCGACCUGAGAGGGUGAUCGGCCGCACGGGAGCUGAGACGCGGUCCAGACUCCUACGGGAGGCAGCAGUAGGGAAUCUUCCGCAAUGGGCGAAAGCCUGACGGAGCAACGCGGCGUGAGUGAUGAAGGUCUUCGGAUCGUAAAACUCUGUUAUUGGGGAAAAACAAAUGUGUAAGGAACUAUGCACGUCUUGACGGUACCUGAUCAGAAAGCCACGGCUAACUACGUG